rnacentral:rRNA from 1 species
UACGAAGGGGGCGAGCGUUGUUCGGAAUUACUGGGCGUAAAGGGCGCGCAGGCGGCCUUAGAAGUCAGAUGUGAAAGCCCCGGGCUCAACCUGGGAAUGGCAUUGGAUACUCUGAGGCUGGAGUACGGGAGAGGAGAGUGGAAUUCCCAGUGUAGAGGUGAAAUUCGUAGAUAUUGGGAAGAACACCGGUGGCGAAGGCGGCUCUCUGGACCGUAACUGACGCUGAGGCGCGAAAGCGUGGGGAGCAAACAGG